CACGCAGGCGGUUAGAUAAGUCAGAUGUGAAAGCCCCGGGCUCAACCUGGGAACUGCAUUUGAAACUGUCGAACUAGAGUCUUGUAGAGGGGGGUAGAAUUCCAGGUGUAGCGGUGAAAUGCGUAGAGAUCUGGAGGAAUACCGGUGGCGAAGGCGGCCCCCUGGACAGAGACUGACGCUCAGGUGCGAAAGCGUGGGGAGCAAACAG
rnacentral:rRNA from 1 species